UGCCAGCUAUUCACAUUGAGUAGCUUUGCUUGUAUUCCUGCACCCCAGUUUUCCUGCUGAGGAAAACAAAUGAAACAAUCAACGCAUUCUUUAUUGGUGAUUUGUUGUUUGCCUGUUUGUUCUUUUCAUGCUGUAGAUCACACUUGGGGUCCAGCACCAGACAGUGUUUGAGCACACUCAGGGCCCAGCUCCACACAGUGUACCACUCCAGCCCUGACUGAGCACUUUUUAAAUACUAAACACUAUUUCCAUUUCCUUAUGUAGUAACUAAAUCUUUUUCCCCUUCCUUUUGUCCUUGAACUCUUUAUGUAGCUGAGUAUGUUCUUGAACCCCUGAACCAUCUGUGUGCUAAUCUCACAGGUAUGCUGGUUGUUUUCUGUCAACCUGACACAAGCUUGGUUCAUCUGGGAAGAGAGAACCUCAGUUGAGAUGCUGCCUUCAUCAGAGUGGCCUGUAGCUGAGCAGCACCUUGGCUGUAAUCCCAGCUCUGAAGAAGUGGAGGCAAGAGACUUCAACGUCAUUCUGGGCCAAAAUAGUGGGUUGGAACCUCGGAUACCACUAGAGUCCUAAGCUAAGUUUGAUAUUGUUUUAUGUAUAUGAAUAUUUCUUUGCCUGUAUGCAUGCCACUUGCAUGCAUGGUACCCUCAAAGGCCAGAAGAAGGUGUUGGAUCCUUUGGAACUGGAGUUACAGAUGGUUGUGAGCUGCUAUGUCAGUGCUGGGAAUCGAACCCGGACCCUCUGAAAGAGCAGCCAGUGCUCUUAACUUCUGAGCCAUCUCUCCAGCCCCUAAGCUAAACUGGAGAUGGUGGCAUGCUAGAUCCCAGAAUUAUAAACCAUUUUUUCAACAAGUGUCACCAGGAAGAGGAUAUAGCAUCAGUGGCAUUUGUGGUGAUAUUUUGUCUGUGCCCUAACAAAUAAAGCUUGCCUGAAGAUCAGAGUGCAGAGUUAAGCCACUAGUCAGCCACAGAGGCCAGGCAGUGGUGGCACACACCUUUAAUCCCAGCACUAUGGAGGUAGAGACAGGAAGUGAUAUGGCUGGGCGGAGAGAGGAAUACAAGGCGGGAGGAGACAGGAGCUCAUGCGCUUUUGGUCUGAGGAUUCUUUAGAGGUAAGAAGUCUUUCUAGUGACUGGCUGCUCUGCUUCUCUAAUCUUUCAGCAUUUACCCUGAUAUCUGACUCCGGAUUUUUAUUAAGACCAAUUAGAAUUUGUACUACAGACAUUUCUUUCUUUUCUUACUUAAUUGAGUAGUGAGAAGGGCUGAGGGGAUGCUGCUGCCCCGAGACAACACUUACAAUUAUAUGUCAACUUAUUAGCUAAUGUUUGGAUUUGAGGCCUUCUCAAUGAGACUUCACAUCCUAGUGUUACUAACAAUUGGAAUUUGGGAUGCAUCGUUGUUGGGAAGACAUCUUCAGAAGGCUCAGGUCAUUUGUGAGUGUGUGUGGCGUGUUUUGUGUGCGUGUGUGUACGUGUGUACACGUAUGUGCAUGCAUGCAUGUACAUUUGUUUCUUCUGCAGAGGGUGACCUUCAUCAUUUCUGACUUUUCCCUGCAUUCCAUCUCUGCUCUCUAUUUGGAUUGUGUGCCCACAUAUAUUCAGUUCAAAGGAUUUUUUUUUUUAGUUUUUUUAAAAGUUGCAUUAUGGAAUUUAUGUAAAUAUUUUUCUUAUUUUCCUCCCUGAUCAUAAACUUGCCUUCACUCCUGGGUCUGGAAUGUAACCAAAUUGAAAAACGACAACAUGUUUGCAGAGCACAGUGAGGUCAUCCCAAGAAUCCUCGAGCUCAGCAGCAUUGGUGGCCCCCACUCAUCUGCUGAAAGAAGACUAAGAGCCAUUAAAAGUCAUUUCCUGCCCUUCCUUGAUCAUCUGCCGGCCUUCUCUGUCACACCACGAUGGGACUAGAGUGCUUGCCUAGAGUGCAGGGAGGCCUACUUCUCCCGAGUACUGCAAAAGGCAGGUGUGGUGCAUGUGGAUAAUCCUGGCUGCAUCGGAAGUUUGAAGCCAGACUGGAUUAGAAAACAAAACAAAACAAAGAAACGAACAAGAAGGAAAAUUAGAAAAGAAAAACCAGAGAAUGAAUAAAUAAGCAAAUUAAGUUUAUUUGUUUUUGAGGGGAUCCUUGCCCUCCCUCUGUGUUCUGAACUAAUAAAUGUCUCAGGUUUGA